rnacentral:rRNA from 1 species
GACGAACGCUGGCGGCGUGCUUAACACAUGCAAGUCGAGCGGGGACAAGAGCUUCGGUUCUUGUUCUAGCGGCGGACGGGUGAGUAACGCGUGAACAAUCUGUCCCAGACAGGGGGAUAACACUUGGAAACAGGUGCUAAUACCGCAUAAGACCACGACACCACAUGGUGAUGGGGUAAAAGAUUUAUCGGUCUGGGGUGAGUUCGCGUCCGAUUAGCUAGUUGGUGAGGUAACGGCCCACCAAGGCGACGAUCGGUAGCCGACCUGAGAGGGUGAUCGGCCACAUUGGAACUGAGACACGGUCCAAACCCCUACGGGAGGCAGCAGUGGGGAAUAUUGGGCAAUGGGCGCAAGCCUGACCCAGCAACGCCGCGUGAGGGAAGAAGGUUUUCGGAUUGUAAACCUCUGUCCUCAAGGACGAAGGAAGUGACGGUACUUGAGGAGGAAGCCCCGGCUAACUACGUGCCAGCAGCCGCGGUAAUACGUAGGGGGCGAGCGUUGUCCGGAAUGACUGGGCGUAAAGGGCGUGUAGGCGGCCGAUUAAGUCUGGAGUGAAAGUCCUGCUUUCAAGGUGGGAAUUGCUUUGGAGACUGGUUGGCUUGAGUGCGGAAGAGGUAAGUGGAAUUCCCAGUGUAGCGGUGAAAUGCGUAGAGAUUGGGAGGAACACCAGUGGCGAAGGCGACUUACUGGGCCGUAACUGACGCUGAGGCGCGAAAGCGUGGGGAGCGAACAGGAUUAGAUACCCUGGUAGUCCACGCUGUAAACGAUGAAUGCUAGGUGUUGCGGGUAUCGACCCCUGCAGUGCCGGAGUAAACGCAAUAAGCAUUCCGCCUGGGGAGUACGGCCGCAAGGUUGAAACUCAAAGGAAUUGACGGGGGCCCGCACAAGCAGCGGAGCAUGUUGUUUAAUUCGAAGCAACGCGAAGAACCUUACCAUGUCUUGACAUCGAGAUAAACUGCUAGAGAUAGCAGGUGGAUUCGUCCGACCGAAGACAGGUGGUGCAUGGUUGUCGUCAGCUCGUGUCGUGAGAUGUUGGGUUAAGUCCCGCAACGAGCGCAACCCCUAUGGUCAGUUACUAACAGGUAAAGCUGAGGACUCUGACAAGACUGCCGGGGACAACUCGGAGGAAGGUGGGGACGACGUCAAAUCAUCAUGCCCCUUAUGACAUGGGCUACAAACGUGCUACAAUGGUGGUUACAAAGAGGAGCGAGCUCGCGAGGGUAAGCGGAUCUCAAAAAAGCCAUCUCAGUUCGGAUUGUGGGCUGCAACCCGCCCACAUGAAGUUGGAGUUGCUAGUAAUCGCGGAUCAGAAUGCCGCGGUGAAUACGUUCCCGGGCCUUGUACACACCGCCCGUCACACCAUGGGAGUUGGGAGCACCCGAAGCCGGUGAGCCGACCGCAAGGAAGCAGCCGUCGAAGGUGAGACCGAUGACUGGGGUGA